GAUGAACGCUGGCGGCGUGCCUAAUACAUGCAAGUCGAGCGAACGGACGAGAAGCUUGCUUCUCUGAUGUUAGCGGCGGACGGGUGAGUAACACGUGGAUAACCUACCUAUAAGACUGGGAUAACUUCGGGAAACCGGAGCUAAUACCGGAUGAUAUUUUGAACCGCAUGGUGCAAAAGUGAAAGACGGUCUUUCUGUCUCUUAUAGAUGGAUCCGCGCUGCAUUAGCUAGUUGUUAAGGUAACGGCUUACCAAGGCAACGAUGCAUAGCCGACCUGGGAGGGUGAUCGCCCACCCUGGAACUUAACCACGGUCCAGACUCCUACGGGAGGCCGCAGUAGGGAAUCUUCCGCAAUGGGCGAAAGCCUUACGGAGCAACGCCGCGUGAGUGAUGAAGGUCUUCGGAUCGUAAAACUCUGUUAUUAGGGAAGAACAUAUGUGUAAGUAACUGUGCACAUCAUGACGGUACCUAAUCAGAAAGCCACGGCUAACUACGUG
rnacentral:rRNA from 1 species